UGCAGCUGGCCUGUGGCAUGUGGACGCUGAGGACCUCUACCGCAACAGCCGAGCCUUCCGAUACUACAACAAAGAGAAAGCCCACUGUAGAAAGUGUGAUCAAAUGGGGCAUGUAGCUAAGUUUUGUCGCAAAAAGAAGUUCAAAGUGUGUUUCUGCUGCUCGGACAUGGGUCAUGAUGGUGCACGAUGUCCCAAACGAAUGUGCUCUCGUUGCUAUGAACACUGUCACACAGCGGCCGAGUGAAAAGAGACUGAUGUGCUUUCAUGCACCACCUGUUAGACCAAGGGCCACCCAGCAAUGAUGUGAAGUACGGUGAAUGGUUCUCCCAAUCUCUCACACCUGGGUGGAUCAUCACCGGACAAAAGGCAAUGCAGGACCUGGAAUAUACCGUACGAUCACCAUCAAAGUUGGUGCAGUAGAAUUCGGAUUUCAAUUCUUCAUCUGCGGAGAGUCCUGUGGUGUUAUAUUUCGCACUGAGCUAUGACAGUUCUGGACGUGCUUGCGAUGGGCUUCGGUUGGGAGAACGAGCAGUCAGGUACGCUUUAGAGGUGAAUUUAUAUAUAUUCGAAACUUUUGCUGUGUCUGCCAAUUCGUGUAGUGCCCUAGCAGACAAAGGAAACCUACAACAAGCUUCUUUUAGCCUCGAAAUUCGGCAGCACCACCCCUUUGAAGAAGCGCCGCGGGAUUGGAACAUACAGUUUCACUGGUAGUUUAAGAUAGCCCAUAGCUAUAUGGGUGGGGAGUGUUCUAGAUCCAAGAGUAAGUAUAAGGUGUUUUGUGGGAAUUUCUUUUUUGCCUUAUCUUAUUUUUAUGCGCUGCACCUCGUCAAAAUUCUUGUCGUUCCAGCCUGUCAAGAGUUCUUUAUUGGAUAGACCCAUCAAGUGGCCAUCUGACACGACUUCCUUCACGGUGUUCAUUGUUCGGUGUGGUGAAACUUUCCGGGGAGUUUUAUGACCAGUAAAAAGUAUUGA